rnacentral:rRNA from 1 species
UUGGAGGGCAAGUCUGGUGCCAGCAGCCGCGGUAAUUCCAGCUCCAAUAGCGUAUAUUAAAGUUGUUGCAGUUAAAAAGCUCGUAGUUGAACUUCGGGGUUUACUCAUUGGUCAGGCUUAAUUGUCUGCACUGGUGAGAUGAAUCUCUACCUUCUGAGGAACUUUCAUGCCAUUUAUUUGGUGUGAUGGGAAAUCAGGACUGUUACUUUGAAAAAAUUAGAGUGUUUAAAGCAGGCUAACGUCUGAAUACAUUAACAUGGAAUAAUAAAAUAGGACGGAUGAAUCUAUUUUGUUGGUUUCUAGGACCACCGUAAUGAUUAAUAGGGAUAGUUGGGGGCAUUAGUAUUCAAUUGUCAGAGGUGAAAUUCUUGGAUUUAUUGAAGACUAACUACUGCGAAAGCAUUUGCCAAGGAUGUUUUCAUUAAUCAAGAACGAAAGUUAGGGGAUCGAAGACGAUCAGAUACCGUCGUAGUCUUAACCAUAAACUAUGCCGACUAGGGAUCGGACGAAGUUAAUUUUAUAAUGACGCGUUCGGCGCCUUACGGGAAAC